rnacentral:rRNA from 1 species
CUCAGUUCGGAUUGUAGGCUGCAACUCGCCUGCAUGAAGCUGGAAUCGCUAGUAAUCGCAAAUCAGCCAUGUUGCGGUGAAUACGUUCCCGGGUCUUGUACUCACCGCCCGUCACACCAUGGGAGUUGUGUUUGCCUUAAGUCAGGAUGCUAAAUUAGCUACUGCCCACGGCACACACAGCGACUGGGGUGAAGUCGUAACAAGGUAACCGUAGGUGAACCUGCGGUUGGAUCACCUCCU